rnacentral:rRNA from 1 species
AUUGAACGCUGGCGGCAGGCCUAACACAUGCAAGUCGAACGGAAGCAGGGUGCUUGCUCCCGGUUACUGGGGCGGACGGGCGUGUAAUGCCUAGAAAUCUCCCAGGCUGGGGGGUAUAAAGUCCGGACAUGGGCGCUAAUACCGCAUGAGCCCAGAGGGAGAACGUGGGGGAUCAUGGGAUCUCACGCCCUCAGAGGAUGCUAGGUCGGAUUAGCUAGUUGGUGGGGUAAAGGCCUACCAAGGCGACGAUCCGUAGCUGGUCUGAGAGGAUGAUCAGCCACACUGGAACUGAGACACGGUCCAGACUCCUACGGGAGGCAGCAGUGGGGAAUAUUGGACAAUGGGCGCAAGCCUGAUCCAGCCAUGCCGCGUGUGUGAAGAAGGCCUUCGGGUUGUAAAGCCCUUUUGUUCGGAAAGAAAAGCAGUAGGUUAAUACCGUGCUGUUAUGACGGUACCGAAAGAAUAAGCACCGGCUAACUUCGUG